rnacentral:misc_RNA from 1 species
UAAUAAGUGUUUUACGGCACUCUUUAAAUCCAUAUCCACCUUGUGUGCAAUGUCAGUCGAUCUUCUUCAUGGAGAUCGACCAAACAUCAACCUUUAUCUUUUAACUCUUUGUCUGAAAAAUAUUAUGAAUAAACAAUUCAAAAUA